AAACUUUCAACAACGGAUCUCUUGGUUCUGGCAUCGAUGAAGAACGCAGCGAAAUGCGAUAAGUAAUGUGAAUUGCAGAAUUCAGUGAAUCAUCGAAUCUUUGAACGCACAUUGCGCUCCUUGGUAUUCCGAGGAGCAUGCCUGUUCGAGCGUCAUU
rnacentral:rRNA from 2 species